GACGAGCCACACAAACGUUAUUCGGAAUUACUGGGCUUAAAGGGUGCGUAGGCGGCGCGGAAAGUUGGGUGUGAAAUCCCUCGGCUUAACCGAGGAACUGCGCUCAAAACUACCGUGCUUGAGGGAGAUAGAGGAGUGCGGAACUUACGGUGGAGCGGUGAAAUGCGUUGAUAUCGUAGGGAACACCGGUGGCGAAAGCGGCACUCUGGAUCUCUUCUGACGCUGAGGCACGAAAGCUAGGGUAGCGAACGGG
rnacentral:rRNA from 1 species